UGACGGUAGUCUCCCUGACUUAUGUAAUAAUUCUCAGGAAAAGACAAGAAUACUCAUAGAGGAAAAAUUCUCGGCAUUAACCACACUAUUGGCUGAGAUGUUGGUCACUCAACAAUUAGUGGAUCGACGUUUAGCUGAGAUUGAAAAGAAAGUGGGUCAACA